AUUGAACGCUGGCGGCAGGCUUAACACAUGCAAGUCGAGCGAGCGGCGGACGGGUGAGUAAUGUCUGGGAAACUGCCUGAUGGAGGGGGAUAACUACUGGAAACGGUAGCUAAUACCGCAUACCAUCAGAUGUGCCCAGAUGGGAUUAGCUAGUAGGUGGGGUAAUGGCUCACCAAGGCGACGAUCCCUAGCUGGUCUGAGAGGAUGACCAGCCACCCUGGGACUGAGACACGGUCCAGACGCCAACGGGAGGCAGCAGUGGGGAAUAUUGGACAAUGGUGGCGAGCCUGAUGAAGCCAUGCCGCGUGUAUGAAGAAGGCCGUAGGGUUGUAAAGGACUUUCGGCGGGGAGGCGUUACUCGCAGAAGAAGCACCGGCUAACUCCGUGCCAGCAGCCGCGGUAAUAC
rnacentral:rRNA from 1 species